rnacentral:rRNA from 1 species
GGCGGACGGGUGAGUAACACGUGGGUAACCUGCCCAUAAGACUGGGAUAACUCCGGGAAACCGGGGCUAAUACCGGAUAACAUUUUGAACUGCAUGGUUCGAAAUUGAAAGGCGGCUUCGGCUGUCACUUAUGGAUGGACCCGCGUCGCAUUAGCUAGUUGGUGAGGUAACGGCUCACCAAGGCAACGAUGCGUAGCCGACCUGAGAGGGUGAUCGGCCACACUGGGACUGAGACACGGCCCAGACUCCUACGGGAGGCAGCAGUAGGGAAUCUUCCGCAAUGGACGAAAGUCUGACGGAGCAACGCCGCGUGAGUGAUGAAGGCUUUCGGGUCGUAAAACUCUGUUGUUAGGGAAGAACAAGUGCUAGUUGAAUAAGCUGGCACCUUGACGGUACCUAACCAGAAAGCCACGGCUACUACGUGCCAGCAGCCGCGGUAAUACGUAGGUGGCAAGCGUUAUCCGGAAUUAUUGGGCGUAAAGCGCGCGCAGGUGGUUUCUUAAGUCUGAUGUGAAAGCCCCGGCUCAACCGUGGAGGGUCAUUGGAAACUGGGAAACUUGAUGCAAAAAAGAAAGGGAAUUCCAUGUGUACGGGGAAAUGCGUAAAAAUUGGAGAACCCCCUGGCGAAGNCACUUUUGGUCUGUACUGACCCUGAGGCCNAAACGUGGGGAACAACAGAUNAAUUCCCUNGUAAAA